UACGUAGGGUGCGAGCGUUGCCCGGAUUUAUUGGGCGUAAAGGGCGCGUAGGCGGCUCGGCACGUCCGUUGUGAAAUCGCCCGGCUCAACUGGGGAGGGUCACGCGAUACUGAUCGACUCGAAGGCAGGAGAGGGAAGUGGAAUUCCCGGUGUAGUGGUGAAAUGCGUAGAUAUCGGGAGGAACACCAGUGGCGAAGGCGACUUCCUGGCCUGUUCUUGACGCUGAGGCGCGAAAGCUAGGGGAGCAAACGGG
rnacentral:rRNA from 1 species